UUCUUCCCCAAAUCAACCUAGCCAUCUCCGCUUCUUCAUGUUUUUUCUCUCAUCUCUUUACCUUCCAUGCCGUUCAAUGUAUUUCUUUUAAUUCGACAAUAAUUGUUUUUCACAUUAAACCCAGUAAAGAUGUCGACCUUUCUGCUUCCUUCACGCCAAAUGUAUAAAUAUGAGAGGGUUGAGAGUAUGAUGAUCCUCAGAACCACAGUCAGAUUAUUUUCUUUAUCAAGCGUAGAAAGAGUCUCAAAAAUGUCUUCCUCCGAUGAGGAGGAUUCGGUGAUACAUGGAUUCAUAUUCUCUCAUCAUCAACCUCUAAAAAUUCAUGCUGCGGAAGUUUGACUAUCUCCAAGCUCUAGCAAACCUUAAUUUAGAACUCCCUGGUUUGUUCUUCAAAUAUGUUUGGUAAUUUAUUGUUUAAGUAAUUAUAUAUGAUUUGGUAAUUAAAUUGGCUUCAAAGAUUUGAUUUCUGAAUCAAAUUUUUAUUUCAGAACGUUACAUAUGCAUCUUUUGAAUUAGUAUGUUUGAUUUCCUCGGUCCAUUAUAUUUGAGUCAAAUGUGAUUCAAUACAACUGUGAGAGUUGUGAAGCAUGGAAAUAAUCUGAGUGAGAAGGUAAGUUUUUCCCCCGUUUGCUGUCACAUAAAUGAUGUGCACUUAAACAUGAGUCUACUUAAAUAUUCCUUUAUUUUAAUUCAUUUUAAACAGAUAAUAAAUUAUGUAAAGAAUGGAAAGAAUGUUUCAAGCUGUUAUGGUUUUGUAGAAUUAGACUCUACAGAGAUGUACAAGUAUAUAAUAGUUUUGUGACAUUGUCUCUUUGAAACUUCGAGUUGAUUGAAUUUGAUGAAGUACAGGGACACAUUUUUUUCAAUCUCAGGGAAUAUUGUGGGGCAUGCUUUCAAGUUGAGGUUUUCUGAAACACGCGAAGGGACACGGUUCGGAAAGUUUGAGAUAAUUUUCCAACAAAGUAACAUGUGCAAGUUGUAGCUGUUGAGUGUUGAGGCAACCAGAAAGAGCUAAGACAGCUUUUCAGCACAUUUAAUAGAGCUUCCACAGAGGAAUAUCAGACAGUACUCAGGUUGCAGCUUUGUUGAUUCCAUGGCAAGCAAGAGACUUCAAACGCGAAAAAGCGUGGUCGAGCACUUUUUCCCUCUUAAAUGUCUUCAUUUGGAUGCAUUAUCGACUCUUUAUUUACUGUCAAAGGUGAAUGAGUGAGCCAAAGAUGGCAAUAACAUGGAAAGGAAGAGUCAUCGUUCAACUGGUAACUAUCAUGAAAUGAACUUACAAAGAGAAGAACAUCUACAGAAUAACCACAUCCCCUCUGUUAAAAAGUUGUGUUGACCAUAAUUCGAUAAGUUACCACUAUGAUUGAUAAUUCUCCAUUAUUUACUCUG